UGCAGAGUUGGCAGAAGAACACACCGCUGUGUGGGAGAGUCUCCAAGAAAGGAGAGACCAUCUACUCAUGCAGGGACUGUGCUUUGGAACCCACCUCUGUGCUGUGUGAGGACUGUUUCCAGAACAGCACGCACAGAGGUCAUGCCUACAAGACACGCGUGUCGGUAGGUGGCAGCGUGUGUGACUG